rnacentral:rRNA from 1 species
UACGUAGGGUCCGAGCGUUGUCCGGAAUUAUUGGGCGUAAAGGGUGUGUAGGCGGCGUAUUAAGUCAACUGUUUAAUUCCCUGGCCUAACUAGGGGCAAGCGGUAGAAACUGAUAUGCUAGAGGGUGGAAGAGAGAAGUGGAAUUCUCGGAGUAGCGGUAAAAUGCGUAGAUCUCGAGAGGAACACCAAUGGCGAAGGCAGCUUCUUGGUCCAUUUCUGACGCUAAAACACGAAAGCGUGGGGAGCAAACAGG